CUCUCCCUCCGCCGUGGCCUGGUCUGCCUGCUCCAGGGCGCAGCUGCGCCCGCUUCAGCGCCUCCCGGGUCUGCGUGGCCUGCUCGGCUCAGAGGCCUCCACCACGGUCCGCUCCCUGCCGGACGCCGCGCUGCUGUGGCCGCGGUGGUUCUGUGGCUGUGAGGGCCGUUUCUGUCCGUCCACACCGCCUUCCCUCUGCAGAUUUCCUCUGCAGAGGCCCGGAGUUACCAGCAAGGUCUGACGCAGCAGAGUGCAGAAACGGCCUCCCUGUCUGUCAAAGUGGCCUCCCGAGGACACCCAGCGAGGCCACCAGAUCAUCACGUGGAGUAUCGGUGGCCUUAUUAAAACAAAAACAACAACUCCACAGCCCGGCGAGCGGUGGACGGCAUCCAGACGCGGAGGGAAGUUUCCUCCUGGGGAGCAGCGCACGUGCUGCCUGGAGACAGAAGCGAAGAUCAGAUUGCACGUGCGUGGAAUGUGGCCGCAGCACCAGUUCUGAGCUCCACGAUUUGCCGGAGCAUGACUCUGUUCUUCAUGAAAAUUAUUAUAAAGAGUGCUUCCAGGAGGCUGAGGCAGGAGAAUCGUUUGAACCCGGGAGGCAGAGGUUGCAGUGAGUGGAGAUUGCGCCACUGCACUCCCAGCCUGGGCAACAGAGAGAGACUCCGUCUAAAAAAAAAAAAAAAAAAAAAAAAAAAAAAGAGUGCUUCCACAUUAAAUCAAGAAAGACACACACACAAGUGAACUGGAAGAGUAUCACACCCUCUUAGGCCUCAAUGUCCACAACAUCACUGGCCACAGCUUUUAGUUUCAGGAGGUGAGAUAUGAAAACAAACCUAAUGGGCAAAGCAGAUCUAAACAGGGUAAGACCUGGAGCCCCGGCCCCAUGCAGCCUGCAGAAGGUGAGUGAGGUCGGCCUCCCCUCAUUCCACAGUUGCCUCUUUCCAGAGACCCUGGGUGUCUGGAGGGAUAUAGAGUGAUGUGGCCAGGCGCUGUGCCCGGGGAAAUGACAUUAAAAUUAGUAAUAGUAGGGGAAAAAAAAGAAAUACUUUCCUUUACAGACAACAGAAUGCAACUUG
rnacentral:lncRNA from 1 species